UUUUUGGCUGCAUUAACAAUGAAUUAAAUGCAGUCUGCUUCAGUCACUAGACAGUUCAGCAACACUGGGACAGAGAAACAUGAUUUCUUUCUAAAGCAUGACAUAGGAGGGGAACUUCAUUGUGUGUGUCUAGACUUGUGCUUAAAAAACUAUAAAGUUCCUAGCAGCUAGUGCUUGAACUGGACUUACUGAACAUAAAAGCAUUCACCUAACACCCUUUGGAGCCCUGAAACAAAUGUACUUUCAAUUACAGCACUGCCCCCAACCUUGGCUACUCUGCAGUAGAAGUGCGCCGGUGCAGUCACCCUUCUCAUCAAAGUGCGGUGGUUACGACUGCCAAGGUCGUCUGCAAGCUGCAUUUGUGCUUCGGCCGUGGCGGACACCACGACACCCUGCCCUGGUCAGCGAGUGGAGGUGGUCAAUACGUGCCUUAGCGUGAAGCUGCUGUGAAGACGUGACUGCUGACAGCCCAGCUUUCAGCUGCUUGACUGGUUUGCAAGUGCAGAACUGGUGGUACUAGCCUCUCAUCUGAGAUAUGUACAUGAAAAAGGCCUUAAAUCCACUGAUUUUCAGGAUAUAAUGUAAGGCUUAUUGUUUUCCUACUUUUUGUCAGUAAAAACGGAAAGUCUUAGCUGUAGUAGUUGGGGAGAGUAAGGGGGGAGGAAUAGUUUGCAUUAUUGCUUCUAUUUUAGUUUGCAAUUGCCCAUACUUUAUAUAUUAAA